rnacentral:rRNA from 1 species
UACGAAGGGUGCAAGCGUUACUCGGAAUUACUGGGCGUAAAGCGUGCGUAGGUGGUUUGUUAAGUCUGUUGUGAAAGCCCCGGGCUCAACCUGGGAAUGGCAAUGGAUACUGGCAAGCUAGAGUGCGGUAGAGGGUAGUGGAAUUCCCGGUGUAGCGGUGAAAUGCGUAGAGAUCGGGAGGAACACCGGUGGCGAAGGCGGCGAUCUGGCCCAACAUUGACACUGAGACCCGAAAGCGUGGGGAUCAAACAGG